rnacentral:rRNA from 1 species
AUUGAACGCUGGCGGCAGGCUCAACACAUGCAAGUCGAGCGGGGUGAUGGUGCUUGCACUAUCACUUAGCGGCGGACGGGUGAGUAAUGCUUAGGAAUCUGCCUAUUAGUGGGGGACAACAUCUCGAAAGGGAUGCUAAUACCGCAUACGUCCUACGGGAGAAAGCAGGGGAUCACUUGUGACCUUGCGCUAAUAGAUGAGCCUAAGUCGGAUUAGCUAGUUGGUGGGGUAAAGGCCUACCAAGGCGACGAUCUGUAGCGGGUCUGAGAGGAUGAUCCGCCACACUGGGACCGAGACACGGCCCAGACUCCUACGGGAGGCAGCAGUGGGGAAUAUUGGACAAUGGGGGGAACCCUGAUCCAGCCAUGCCGCGUGUGUGAAGAAGGCCUUAUGGUUGUAAAGCACUUUAAGCGAGGAGGAGGCUCUUUUGGUUAAUACCCAAGAUGAGUGGACGUUACUCGCAGAAUAAGCACCGGCUAACUCUGUGCCAGCCGCCGCAGUAA